rnacentral:rRNA from 1 species
AGGACGAACGCUGGCGGCGUGCUUAACGCAUGCAAGUGGAGCGACGAACCAGGGCUUGCCCUGGGGCAGAGCCGCGAACGGGUGAGUAACACGUGGGUUACCUGCCUCGAUGACCGGGACAACCCGAGGAAACUCGGGCUAAUACCGGAUGUGCCCGCAAGGGGAAAGGAAGCUUCGGCCUCCGCAUCGAGAUGGGCCCGCGGCCCAUUAGCGUUGUUGGUGAGGUAACGGCUCACCAAGGCUUCGAUGGGUAGC